rnacentral:rRNA from 1 species
UGGACUUUAUUCGCGCAGUAUAGGUGGGAGGCGUUGAUUAUAAUCUUGCAGGAUUAUUGGAGCCAUCAGUGAGAUACCACCCUUGUAAUGUUAGAUUUCUAACUUUGAAUCAUUAUCUGGUCAAAGAACAGUUUCAGGCGGGCAGUUUGACUGGGGCGGUCGCCUCCUAAACGGUAACGGAGGCGUACAAAGGUUUCCUCUGAACGGUUAGAAAUCGUAUCUAGAGUGUAAAGGCAUAAGGAAGCUUGACUGUGAGACCUACAAGUCGAGCAGGGACGAAAGUCGGUCUUAGUGAUCUGACGGUACUGAGUGGAAAGGCCGUCACUCAACGGAUAAAAGUUACUCUAGGGAUAAC